AACGAACGCUGGCGGCAUGCCUAACACAUGCAAGUCGAACGAAGGCUUCGGCCUUAGUGGCGCACGGGUGCGUAACGCGUGGGGAUCUGCCCUUUGCUUCGGAAUAACAGUUAGAAAUGACUGCUAAUACCGGAUGAUGUCGUAAGACCAAAGAUUUAUCGGCAAAGGAUGAACCCGCGUAGGAUUAGCUAGUUGGUGGGGUAAAGGCCUACCAAGGCGACGAUCCUUAGCUGGUCUGAGAGGAUGAUCAGCCACACUGGGACUGAGACACGGCCCAGACUCCUACGGGAGGCAGCAGUGGGGAAUAUUGGACAAUGGGCGAAAGCCUGAUCCAGCAAUGCCGCCUGAGUGAUGAAGGCCUUAGGGUUGUAAAGCUCUUUUACCCGGGAUGAUAAUGACAGUACCGGGAGAAUAAGCUCCGGCUAACUCCGUGCCAGCCGCCGCAGUAAAAC
rnacentral:rRNA from 1 species